UACGUAGGGGGCAAGCGUUGUCCGGAAUCAUUGGGCGUAAAGAGCGCGUAGGCGGUCCGGUAAGUCCGCUCUGAAAGUCCGGGGCUCAACCCCGGGAGGCGGGCGGAUACUGUCGGGCUAGAGUCCGGAAGAGGCGAGUGGAAUUCCUGGUGUAGCGGUGAAAUGCGCAGAUAUCAGGAGGAACACCAGUGGCGAAGGCGGCUUCCUGGACCGGUUCUGACACUGAGGAGCGAAAGCGUGGGGAGCGAUCCGG
rnacentral:rRNA from 1 species